CCUACGGGAGGCAGCAGUGGGGAAUAUUGGACAAUGGGCGAAAGCCUGAUCCAGCAAUUCCGCGUGUGUGAAGAAGGCCUUCGGGUUGUAAAGCACUUUAGUGGGGGAAGAAACAGCUUGGCCACACCAAGCCUUGACGGUACCCCAAGAAUAAGCACCGGCUAACUCUGUGCCAGCAGCCGCGGUAAUACAGAGGGUGCAAGCGUUAAUCGGAUUUACUGGGCGUAAAGGGUGCGUAGGUGGCUAUUUAAGUCGGAUGUGAAAGCCCGGGGCUCAACCUCGGAAUUGCAUUCGAUACUGAGUGGCUAGAGUUCGGUAGAGGGCGGCGGAAUUUCCGGUGUAGCGGUGAAAUGCGUAGAUAUCGGAAGGAACAUCAAUGGCGAAGGCAGCCGCCUGGGCCUGGACUGACACUGAGGCACGAAAGCGUGGGUAGCAAACAGGAUUAGAUACCCUGGUAGUCCACGCCGUAAACGAUGAGAACUUGACGUUGGUUCGUUUUACGAAUCGGUGUCGCAGCUAACGCGAUAAGUUCUCCGCCUGGGGAGUACGGCCGCAAGGUUGAAACGUUAGAAAGUAGUAGACGNGUGAGUUGCGACGAGCACGACGGGAGGAGG
rnacentral:rRNA from 1 species